GUCCCUAUCUGUCGUGGGCGCAGGAAAUUUGAGAGGAGCUGUCCUUAGUACGAGAGGACCGGGAUGGACGCACCGCUGGUGUACCAGUUGUUCCGCCAGGAGCACCGCUGGGUAGCCAAGUGCGGACGGGAUAAGCGCUGAAAGCAUCUAAGCGUGAAGCCCCCCUCAAGAUGAGAUUUCCCAAUUUAGUAAGACCCCUUGAAGACGACGAGGUAGAUAGGUUCGAGGUGGAAGCGCAGCAAUGCGUGGAGCUGACGAAUACUAAUCGGUCGAGGGCUUAUCCA
rnacentral:rRNA from 1 species